rnacentral:rRNA from 1 species
UACGUAGGUGGCAAGCGUUGUUCGGAAUUACUGGGCGUAAAGCGCGCGUAGGCGGCUCUUCAAGUCAGGCGUGAAAGCCCCGGGCUUAACUCGGGAACUGCGUUUGAUACUGUCGAGCUAGAGUGUGGAAGGGGCGAUUGGAAUUCCGUGUGUAGCGGUGAAAUGCGUAGAUAUACGGAGGAACACCAGAGGCGAAGGCGGAUCGCUGGGCCAACACUGACGCUGAUGUGCGAAAGCUAGGGGAGCAAACGGG